CUGCGAUGAUGCCUAUCUUAGGACACCUUUGGAUUUGCCGUGAAAACAAAACCAAUUCUGAGCAGC